rnacentral:rRNA from 1 species
UGACAGUACUCCUACGGGGAGGCAGCAGUGGGGGAAUAUUGCACAAUGGGCGCAAGCCUGAUGCAGCCAUGCCGCGUGUGUGAAGAAGGCCUUCGGGUUGUAAAGCACUUUCAGUCGUGAGGAAGGUAGUGUAGUUAAUAGCUGCAUUAUUUGACGUUAGCGACAGAAGAAGCACCGGCUAACUCCGUGCCAGCAGCCGCGGUAAUACGGAGGGUGCGAGCGUUAAUCGGAAUUACUGGGCGUAAAGCGCAUGCAGGUGGUUUGUUAAGUCAGAUGUGAAAGCCCGGGGCUCAACCUCGGAAUAGCAUUUGAAACUGGCAGGCUAGAGUACUGUAGAGGGGGGUAGGAAUUUCAGGUGUAGCGGUGAAAUGCGUAGAGAUCUGAAGGAAUACCGGUGGCGAAGGCGGCCCCCUGGACAGAUACUGACACUCAGAUGCGAAAGCGUGGGGAGCAAACAGGAUUAGAUACCCUGGUAG